AACAGUUUUUCUUUUUCUCUAGAUCUCUAUUUCUCGUCCCCAGACCCCGACUAUGGAACGUUAUUUUUUUCUCUCUCUCUAUUCCCUCUCUCUGCCGCCCCCUCUGACCUUUUUCACCUCCGGCGAUUUCACCGUUCAUCUUCACCACCGGCACGGCGAACGCUGCUGGUUGCUGUCCUCUCGAUCCACUCCCAAUCUCUGAAUCACAAUUAAAACCCCUAAUUUCAUCUAGGGUUUUCAGCCUCUCGAAUUUUCCAACCUUCCGACGAGCAUCACCGUCGCCGUCGUCGCCGCGUCUUCACCCCGCCUGAGCCGAGACGCAGCUGCAGGAUGUCUUCCUACACUUGCCACUAUCCCCAUAUAUAUUGGGUUUUAUAGAGCUCUUUCUAAUAUAGCAGAUGAGGUUUAAACAAAGAGAGGAAGAGAUGAGGAAAGCUGAGGAGGCGGCAACUAAUGGGCAUCAGAUUACAAAUUGCUGUGAACGGUAAUGAAGUAAACUCAGAAUUGAAGGAUAAUGAGAGGUCAUCUGCUGAUAGGGAAGAAACUCAUGAUAAGAGUGAUGAUGAAGAUGGAAGCUAGGUGGAUGGUUCAAUUUACUGGAUGCUUGGUGGUGAAUGUUCAAGGCUGGAGAUAUUAGAGGUUUUUUUUUGUAGAUAAAUGAAGGCGUAGUUAGUGAUGAUUCAAUUGUAAUGUCUUUUGAUGAAAUAUCAAACAAGAUGUUUGACUUUUAUUAUAUCAAUCGAGUUUUUAUUAAUGGUUUCUGAGUAUUGUUUGGUUAUUUGAUAUUUAAGUAUUUAAUUUUAUCACGUAUGUUAGUAUUAC